AUUGAACGCUGGCGGCAGGCUUAACACAUGCAAGUCGAGCGGGGUGAUGGUGCUUGCACUAUCACUUAGCGGCGGACGGGUGAGUAAUGCUUAGGAAUCUGCCUAUUAGUGGGGGACAACAUCUCGAAAGGGAUGCUAAUACCGCAUACGUCCUACGGGAGAAAGCAGGGGAUCACUUGUGACCUUGCGCUAAUAGAUGAGCCUACGUCGGAUUAGCUAGUUGGUGGGGUAAAGGCCUACCAAGGCGACGAUCUGUAGCGGGUCUGAGAGGAUGAUCCGCCGCACUGGGACUGAGACACGGCCCAGACUCCGACGGGAGGCAGCAGUGGGGAAUAGUGGACAAUGGGGGGAACCCUGAUCCAGCCAUGCCGCGUGUGUGAAGAAGGCCUUAUGGUUGUAAAGCACUUUAAGCGAGGAGGAGGCUCUUUUGGUUAAUACCCAAGAUGAGUGGACGUUACUCGCAGAAUAAGCACCGGCUAACUCUGUGCCAGCAGCCGCCGUAA
rnacentral:rRNA from 1 species